GACGGGGCUGGAGUCGCCGUCGCGGCGGUGGAUGCGCUGUGGGCUCUGCGGGCGGGCAGAACUGCUCAAAAGCUUCAGUUUAAGACUGUAGUCAUCUUUAGCAAAUAGUUGCAACCCAUAUGGAGACAUGCUGAUCUAAAGAACUUGCAAAGGUAUUCUUCACAGAAUAAUGGAGGCAUCUGCUAAGCUAUAGUAAAAGUGGUACUAUAUAUAUAAAUAUACUCAUAUUUUUUUCUGAACAGAUG
rnacentral:lncRNA from 1 species